AAAACAUCGCCUCCUGCAACGCAGCCAAGUAUAGGAGGUCCAGCCUGCCCAGUGACCACAAGUUUAACGGCCGCGGUAUCCUGACCGUGCAAAGGUAGCGCAAUCACUUGUCUUUUAAAUAGAGACCUGUAUGAAUGGCCAAACGAGGGCUUAACUGUCUCCCUUUUCAAGUCAGUGAAAUUGAUUUACCCGUGCAGAAGCGGGUAUAACAAUACAAGACGAGAAGACCCUUUGGAGCUUAAGGUACAAAACUCAACCCACGUCAAGCAACUUCAUAAAAAGCAAAAACUUUGUGGGAUAUGAUAUUUUACCUUCGGUUGGGGCGACCACGGAGGAAAAUAAAGCCUCCAAGUGGACUGGGAUAUACCUCCUAAAACCAAGAGAAACAUCUCUAAGCCACAGAACAUCUGACCAAACAUGAUCCGGCAGUAUAAGCCGAUCAACGAACCAAGUUACCCUAGGGAUAACAGCGCAAUCCUCUCCCAGAGUCCAUAUCGACGAGAGGGUUUACGACCUCGAUGUUGGAUCAGGACAUCCUAAUGGUGCAGCCGCUAUUAAGGGUUCGUUUGUUCAACGAUUAAAGUCCUACGUGA
rnacentral:rRNA from 1 species